rnacentral:rRNA from 1 species
GAUGAACGUUGGCGGAGUGCCUAAUACAUGCAAGUCGAACGGUGACGAUUUUGUAGUAAUACGAAUGAAAUCACAGUGGCGAACGGGUGAGUAACGCGUUGGUGAUCUGCCUCGAAGUGUGGAAUAACGCUCCGAAAGGAGCGCUAAUACCGCAUGUGCUCUCGAUGUUUAGAAAGUUGAGAGUAAAGGAUUUAUUCGCUUCGAGAGGAGCCUGCGUCCCAUCAGCUGGUUGGUAGGGUAACGGCCUACCAAGGCAAUGACGGGUAGGGGACCUGAGAGGGUCGGCCCCCCACAAUGGAACUGAAACACGGUCCAUACACCUACGGGUGGCAGCAGUAGGGAAUAUUAGAAUGGACGAAAGUCUGAUCUAGCGACACCGCGUGUGCGAAGAAGGCCUUCGGGUUGUAAAGCACUUUUUGGAAGGAAUAGGAAGGAAGGUACUUCCAGAAUAAGUCUCGGCUAACUACGUG